UUAUCUAACUGCCCUUGAAGACCUCCAGGUUUAAAGUGACAGUUCCAUAUUCCCAGUAUCUUGUACCCCUUCUUCUUUUGAUUGCCUGGAUUGUAGGUUGUGUCCUGACGGUUUAUUUUGUCUUUUCAUAAAAGAGGGAAUGAACCUUUUGGAAAACUCUUGGAACUGAAUGAAGAUGCCCAUUUCUUAUUUUGAAACCACACCAUGAAAAUUAUAAUCCAAGAACAUUACAAUGAAGUUUCAAUAGAUGUAUUUCUCCGUUAAAAAUGACUCAACAACAAAAACAGUUUUG
rnacentral:lncRNA from 1 species